rnacentral:rRNA from 1 species
AUUGAACGCUGGCGGCAGGCUUAACACAUACAAGUCGGGCGAGCGGCGGACGGGUGAGUAAUGUCUGGGAACCUGGCUGGUGGAGGGGGAUAACUAAUGGAAACGUUAGCUAAUACCGCAUAACAUUAGAUCGGCCCAACUGGGAUUAGCUAGUAGGUGGGGUAAUGGCUCACCCAGGCGACGAUCCCUAGCGGGUCUGAGAGGAUGACCAGCCACACUGGAACUGAGACACGGUCCAGACUCCUACGGGAGGCAGCAGUGGGGAAUAUUUCACAAUGGGCGCAAGCCUGAUGCAGCCAUGCCGCGUGUGUGAAGAAGGCUUUCGGGUUGUAAAGCACUUUCAGCGAGGAGGCGUUACUCGCAGAAGAAGCACCGGCUAACUCCGUGCCAGCCGCCGCGGUAAUAC